GAAGACGUUCUUUGCCCGAGACGGAUUGGCGGCAGCGAGAAGGCAGUGCAGGUGUGCGAGUUACUUUAAGGCUUUGAAAAACCUGGCAAUGAAUUAUUCUGGCUGAGUUCUGUCGCUUAUCAAGCAAAAAUCUGAGUUGCAAUCAGAGUUCUUCAAAGAUCUCGACAAAUACACU